CGGGUGGCAGCGGAGCUCGCAGCCUCGGUAACCCGCUUGUGUCUGUGGAGGUGAUGGGGGGGGGGGGGUGACUCAGCUCCCUCAUUCGCCCUCACUACGUUGACGGGACGCACCGUCAGGUACUUGGGAGGGGUUUCGACCAGUGCUGUUUACUCAGGAAGGAAAGAUGGAACCUCGGGACCCUGGAGUCAGCCGGCUGCUGCCUCCCUCUUCUCCCUCCCUCUCCUCCGGCCCAAUCUCCGCCAUUCUGCUCAGGAAGAUUCUGUUCCUAACACUCAGUCCUUAAGCUCAACCCUGGGAGUCCCAAGACCUGAAGAGGAGCCUCCUCCCAUCCAGGUUUACAUUUUUACAUCACUCAGCAGACCCUCCAGAUUCCGGAGGAGAGCCCUUUGCUGCGUCCCCACUGGCCUCACCAGGCACAAAAAGAACUUUCUUCUCCAGGGCUGUCAGCAAUGGCCGGGACUUCUGACUCAUCGCUAUCAGAUUUCAGAGAUGACUGUUCGUGAAGUCAUCUCGUAUCUAUAUAUUUGGUUCAGAUGCUACUAGAUAUUGCCCCUCUUUGGUCCUCUGCCCUGACUGAGGAAGAGAACCCCAUUUCUGAAGACUUGGGGAGCCAUUCUUCUUCCAUCUGGCUUGGGAUGUGGGUGGCCUUGUCUGCAAGCAGGGAAGUUGUAAAAGCACAGUCUGCAGAGCAGUUCCUCAUUCUGCUCUAGGGCUGGGACAUAAGGGGUGAGUGUUCCAUAUUCCUUAAUUCCUGUGACUCUCGGGCCUCCUGGGGGCCCGGCUGGUGAGCCACUCCAUGGGCCCUCACAGGAGCCACUAAAGCAGGCCACUCCCCUGCUUUCCACACCCUAGGAACUGCAGAUCCUUUGAGACUAUUGAACUUGUAUUUCUCAAGGUUCUUUUCCUGCCAAUAUAUUCUGUUUUAUUCCAGGGAAGAUGGGAGUAUAAUGAAAUGCUUUGUUUGUUUACAGUAUUGAUGCAGUGAGUAUGCACCUGCUAAUGGUCUGCGCAUUCCUUUUCAUGUCUAGCCACCCAUCUUGGGGUCUUGCUGCAGGAGGGACACUCUGCAGGCACUGAGCCAGGCCAGUGCAGGGGAGG